rnacentral:tRNA from 1 species
UCGCUCGUAGCUCAGUUGGUAGAUCAAUCGACUUUUAAUCGAGAGGUCAUAGGUUCAAAUCCUAUCGGGCGAACCA